rnacentral:rRNA from 1 species
GACGAACGCUGGCGGCGUGCUUAACACAUGCAAGUCGAGCGGUAAGGCCCUUUCGGGGGUACGACGAGCGGCGAACGGGUGAGUAACACGUGGGUGACCUGCCUUCAGCUCUGGGAGUAAGCCUGGGAAACGUAGGGUCUAAUACUGGAUAUGACUCCACGGUGCAUGUCGUGGGGUGGAAAGCCUUGUGCGGCUGAGGAUGGGCCCGCGGCCUAUCAGCUUGUUGGUGGGGUGACGGCCUACCAAGGCGACGACGGGUAGCCGGCCUGAGAGGGCGACCGGCCACACUGGGACUGAGACACGGCCCAGACUCCUACGGGAGGCAGCAGUGGGGAAUCUUGCGCAAUGGGCGAAAGCCUGACGCAGCGACGCCGCGUGAGGGAUGACGGCC